rnacentral:lncRNA from 1 species
AGCGAAGGGGUGGGGUGGGAUCUUGGUCCAGCUGGUACUGGAGCGGCGACAAUUUUGGCUAGUCUAAGAAGGGCAUUCGAGUGACCGUUGACAACGGGUGGGACAGCGUCAGAGCUGGAGGGAGAGCCAGCACUGUAUGCUUCCAGGACUUCUUGCUAGGUGCAUUAGUUUUUAUUUUUAAGAGUUGGGUAAAAGACAUUAAUUAGUUAGCAUCUCACUCAUCGGCGAUUUUCUACGGUAUGAUUUCAUCCAAAGAGGAUUUCUUAAUCGCACUGUGUGACACCGUUAGGGGACUUAGAGUGUCACUCGCCGCCUUAAAUCCUUUCGGGAACAAGCCAGGAUAUAAAUAAAUAAAGCUAGGUGUGGGUCUUCCCUUCACAAGGCGCUGGUAGGCAGACUAAAGACAGGCAACAGCUGAGUGUGCACACAGAACUAAAUAUUGAACGAAAUACGAGUGUCGGAAUAAAAUUCAUUGCCAUGUGCACGGCUUAUGAUUAUACAGAUCUUGGACAUAUCACGGACCUGAACGUCAACCCUGCAACACCGGAUAAAACAUCUAAUGUAGCUGGAAUAGACUCUGAAAGGACGUUAGGCAUUAUCUAAAUCAAGUCCCUCAUUUUACAGAUGAGUAAACUGACUCAGUGAAGUAUUUUGCUCAAGGUCGUUCAUCAAAUUAGUAGUUUAAUUAACUCAGUGUUCUAGGAAGCAGGGUAGUAGAAAAGCAUGGGAUUCGGAGUCUGAAAUCUUCCUUGGUUUCUGGUCCUUGUAGGCUGUUUUACAAGUGUAUCUUGGGCAAAUCCCUUAACGUCUUGCCAUUUAUUAAGGGCUUACUUACCACGUGGCAAACAAUCCACUUUGCAUGCUGUGUCAAUUACAUGCAGUAUGUCGUGUAGUUAUUACUGUCCCCAUUUUAUGAGGUAGUUUAGGUUUAAAGAUAUUAGAAAUUUACCCAAAGUUACGCAGUUAUAAACAUUGUAGUAAUUUCAAACUCAGGUCUUCGUGACUGCAAAGGCUGCUGUCUUAAGUAUUGUAAUACAUUAGAGCUCCGGAUUCCCUCCCACUCAAAACAGAGACUGAGACUCCAACCAAUUUCCACCAUUAUUGGGAGUCAAACGAGAGAGACUGUGGCAAUGUAUUCUAAGCUGUACAAAGGUAUAAACAUAUUCACUAGAUUUGUAGAAUGAAGUUAUUCCUUCCCUAUACUUUCCACUACAACAAUUCAGCCAAAAAGAUGGCUUUCAUACUAAGCAUAAGAAGGAACUUCACUGUAAUUAUGAUAUUCUAACCAAGAAUAUAUGCAUAUCUAGGCAAUAACCAAAGUGAAUAGAAUAAAAUUUAAUUCCUGAUAGAUUAAAUAGGCAAUAGCAAGGAAUGCUAACGCUCCUCAUAGCGUUCUUGUUGGAAGAAUCAUCUAGGAGGCAUUGGGAUUUCUGGUGCUUUUUAAGCAAUGAGAGAUAUCAGUCCACUGAAUGAGGAAGAGAAUAACGUUUAGUUUCGGACUAAAAGUUCAUCUGGACUACGGAAAACACGUUUGCCUCAAUCAGUGAAGAAGGUAUGCUGAGAGCUGAAAGAAAAGGAAAGCAGCAACAGUGAGAGCUCAGAAAUUCCCAGACUGUUUUGAUGAUAAGGUCCAAGAACUUGCCAUGUGAUCCAUCACUACUAGACUCCCACAACUGCAUUAGAUUUGUUCAGGAUUUUCAUAUAAUUUUCAUAACUGGCUAAGUUCUGAAAUAACCCAUCUUGAAGACAUAAACAAUGUGCAUUGAUGGCUAGCCAGACUCUGUCCUGCCACAGUUCUCCUCCUACUCUUCAUUUCUUACCCCAAGGAGUAGUAAACAUGAAUCCUGACCCACCAAUGCAGUCCCAGAACUGAGAAAAGAUUCACUGCAGCUAAACACAUUGGAAAUGGAUGGGGAGAAGGCCUGAUGAAAAUUACUGAGGAAGCCUCUUAGCCUAUGUGCUCUGAGAGUAGUGACACCUAGCAGUCGUUCAAAAGAUGAUCAAGAGGAGCAUGAAAAAAUCCCCUGAAUCCAUUGGCUUUCUUCCCUAUACUGACAACAGUUUACUUGUGUAAGAGAUGAGGGUCUCAUCCUUUUGCCCAGGCUGGAGUACAGU